rnacentral:rRNA from 1 species
UACGGAGGGUGCAAGCGUUACUCGGAAUUACUGGGCGUAAAGCGGGCGUAGGCGGUUUGUUAAGUCUGUUGUGAAAGCCCCGGGCUUAACCUGGGAAUGGCAAUGGAUACUGGCAAGCUAGAGUGUGUCAGAGGAUGGCGGAAUUCCCGGUGUAGCGGUGAAAUGCGUAGAGAUCGGAAGGAACAUCAGUGGCGAAGGCGGCCAUCUGGGACAACACUGACGCUGAAGCACGAAAGCGUGGGGAGCAAACAGG